UCUCCAUUUCACACCUUCCUUUCCUGCCUCCUGUCCAGCUAGUCAACCUCCUCCUGGUUCCUGGCAGCUCACCGUCCCUGGCUCCCGCUUUCUGACUGCCUUUGGCUCUUGCUCAGCAUACGUGGGCCUGUGUUACCGGGCACAUUUCCACCUAGACAGAGGUACUUACUUCAGGAGAAAUCAGUACAUACUGAGCCUGAAAGGAAGGGGAGAGAAGGGAGACUUGUGUUACUGUCGAUGCAGGUUUUAACCACUCAUCCUGAAGCCCCACAUUCACAUCUACAUUCUGGAGAAGUCCUCAACUCAUGCAUGCCCUUUGACACCAGAAAUUCCACUCACAGGAGUGUAGCUCAAGAAGACAGAUAGACAGAAAUGUUCAUAUAUGGAUAUUUAUAUCCUUAUUUAUAACCGUGAAAUGAAAUGGACUGAGGGACUAAUAGCCCCUCAAAUAACGUCUACGUAAAUUAUGGCGUGUCCACAGAUAAAACAGGCAGCCAGGAAGUCCACUGUAUGAGAAUAGAAGGCAUGGAGAAAUGUCAACUACGUUGGCAGGGAAGACCAGGUCAAGUUACAAAAUUGUGUACAAGAUGAUCACGGCUGUUAAUAAGCCCUAUCCACACCCACCCUGUAAUGGUGAAGAGUGUCCUAAAGAAUCAGCUCCUGGUGCAGGGCCCUGGCCUGCCCUCUCCCAGCACCGUGACCUGGUGCACCUUCCUCACGGACAUUCAAUGUCUUCAUCUGGCACAGUACCCACAUAGUAGCUUGGAGGUGGCUUGAAGAAGUAGUGGUGAGGGAGACAGGUCUAUCAAGUGUUAACGCAGUGCCAAGUACGGAGUAGGUGCACAAUAAAUGGGAACCAUUAAGCCGACAGAAAAGCAUACCAGAAGGAUACACCUCAGAAGGUUAACAGAAGGCAUCGCCUCUGCAGAGUGCAAAUCUAGGUAGAGGAUUCGUACCACUUGUAUUUUCUAAAAUUUUUACAAUGAACUGUACUUUUGCAAUUAAGUAAGGUUGUUUAAAUUUAAAAAUGGUGUUUUAGGCACAGGCAACUUAAAAAAAACCCACCUGAGAAAAGGGAUGAACAGGAAGCAGUGAACAGGAAACAAAA